rnacentral:rRNA from 1 species
GACGAACGCUGGCGGCGUGCCUAAUACAUGCAAGUCGAGCGAACUUGCGGGAGCUUGCUCCCUGAGGUUAGCGGCGGACGGGUGAGUAACACGUGGGCAACCUGCCUAUAAGACUGGGAUAACUUCGGGAAACCGGAGCUAAUACCGGAUAAUUCAUAUCUACUCAUGUAGGUAUGCUGAAAGACGGUUUACGCUGUCACUUGUAGAUGGGCCCGCGGCGCAUUAGCUAGUUGGUGAGGUAACGGCUCACCAAGGCGACGAUGCGUAGCCGACCUGAGAGGGUGAUCGGCCACACUGGGACUGAGACACGGCCCAGACUCCUACGGGAGGCAGCAGUAGGGAAUCUUCCGCAAUGGACGAAAGUCUGACGGAGCAACGCCGCGUGAGUGAUGAAGGUUUUCGGAUCGUAAAACUCUGUUGUUAGGGAAGAACAAGUACUAGAGUAACUGCUAGUACCUUGACGGUACCUAACCAGAAAGCCACGGCUAACUACGUGCCAGCCGCCGCGGUAA